UGCUACAAUGGCGGUGACAAUGGGAGGCAAAGGGGCGACCCCUCGCAAAUCUCAAGGAGGCAGCCGACCACGGUCGGGUCAGCGACUGGGGUG
rnacentral:rRNA from 1 species